rnacentral:rRNA from 1 species
UGGGGAAUAUUGGACAAUGGGCGCAAGCCUGAUCCAGCCAUGCCGCGUGAGUGAUGAAGGCCCUAGGGUUGUAAAGCUCUUUCACCGGUGAAGAUAAUGACGGUAACCGGAGAAGAAGCCCCGGCUAACUUCGUGCCAGCAGCCGCGGUAAUACGAAGGGGGCUAGCGUUGUUCGGAAUUACUGGGCGUAAAGCGCACGUAGGCGGACAUUUAAGUCAGGGGUGAAAUCCCGGGGGCUCAACCCCGGAACUGCCUUUGAUACUGGGUGUCUAGAGUUCGAGAGAGGUGAGUGGAAUUCCGAGUGUAGAGGUGAAAUUCGUAGAUAUUCGGAGGAACACCAGUGGCGAAGGCGGCUCACUGGCUCGAUACUGACGCUGAGGUGCGAAAGCGUGGGGAGCAAAACAGGAUUAGAUACCCUGGUAGUCCACGCCGUAAAACGAUGGAAGCCAGCUGUCGGCAAGUUUACUUGUCGGUGGCGCAGCUAACGCAUUAAAGCUUCCCGCCUGGGGAGUACGGUCGCAAGAUUAAAACUCGAAGGAAAUGACGGGGGUCAUAGCUGUUUCCUG